GGAGAGUCCAAAGGUAGUGAGUUAGCUCAACUGACUGUUCAGUUAGCUACACACAAAACUCCUUGUUCUACUUUCUUCACCUUCUUCUCACCCUUCCAUUUGACUAGUCUAAA
rnacentral:Y_RNA from 1 species